rnacentral:rRNA from 1 species
GGUUAAGCGACUAAGCGUACACGGUGGAUGCCCUGGCAGUCAGAGGCGAUGAAGGACGUGCUAAUCUGCGAUAAGCGUCGGUAAGGUGAUAUGAACCGUUAUAACCGGCGAUUUCCGAAUGGGGAAACCCAGUGUGAUUCGUCACACUAUCAUUACGUGAAUACAUAGCGUAAUGAAGCGAACCGGGGGAACUGAAACAUCUAAGUACCCCGAGGAAAAGAAAUCAACCGAGAUUCCCCCAGUAGCGGCGAGCGAACGGGGAGCAGCCCAGAGUCUGAAUCAGCUUGUGUGUUAGUGGAACGGUCUGGAAAGUCCGACGGUACAGGGUGAUAGUCCCGUACACCAAAAUGCACAGGUUGUGAACUCGAAGAGUAGGGCGGGACACGUGGUAUCCUGUCUGAAUAUGGGGGGACCAUCCUCCAAGGCUAAAUACUCCUGACUGACCGAUAGUGAACCAGUACCGUGAGGGAAAGGCGAAAAGAACCCCGGCGAGGGGAGUGAAAAAGAACCUGAAACCGUGUACGUACAAGCAGUGGGAGCAUCCUUUUGGGUGUGACUGCGUACCUUUUGUAUAAUGGGUCAGCGACUUAUAUUCUGUAGCAAGGUUAACCGUAUAGGGGAGCCGAAGGGAAACCGAGUCUUAACUGGGCGUUAAGUUGCAGGGUAUAGACCCGAAACCCGGUGAUCUAGCCAUGGGCAGGUUGAAGGUUGGGUAACACUAACUGGAGGACCGAACCGACUAAUGUUGAAAAAUUAGCGGAUGACUUGUGGCUGGGGGUGAAAGGCCAAUCAAACCGGGAGAUAGCUGGUUCUCCCCGAAAGCUAUUUAGGUAGCGCCUCGUGAAUUCAUCUUCGGGGGUAGAGCACUGUUUCGGCUAGGGGGUCAUCCCGACUUACCAACCCGAUGCAAACUGCGAAUACCGAAGAAUGUUAUCACGGGAGACACACGGCGGGUGCUAACGUCCGUCGUGAAGAGGGAAACAACCCAGACCGCCAGCUAAGGUCCCAAAGUCAUGGUUAAGUGGGAAACGAUGUGGGAAGGCACAGACAGCCAGGAUGUUGGCUUAGAAGCAGCCAUCAUUUAAAGAAAGCGUAAUAGCUCACUGGUCGAGUCGGCCUGCGCGGAAGAUGUAACGGGGCUAAACCAUGCACCGAAGCUGCGGCAGCGACACUAUGUGUUGUUGGGUAGGGGAGCGUUCUGUAAGCCGUUGAAGGUGUGCUGUGAGGCAUACUGGAGGUAUCAGAAGUGCGAAUGCUGACAUAAGUAACGAUAAUGCGGGUGAAAAACCCGCACGCCGGAAGACCAAGGGUUCCUGUCCAACGUUAAUCGGGGCAGGGUGAGUCGACCCCUAAGGCGAGGCCGAAAGGCGUAGUCGAUGGGAAACAGGUUAAUAUUCCUGUACUUGGUGUUACUGCGAAGGGGGGACGGAGAAGGCUAUGUUAGCCGGGCGACGGUUGUCCCGGUUUAAGCAUGUAGGCGGAGGUUCCAGGUAAAUCCGGUACCUUUUUAACGCUGAGGUGUGAUGACGAGGCACUACGGUGCUGAAGUAACAAAUGCCCUGCUUCCAGGAAAAGCCUCUAAGCAUCAGGUAACACGAAAUCGUACCCAAAACCGACACAGGUGGUCAGGUAGAGAAUACCAAGGCGCUUGAGAGAACUCGGGUGAAGGAACUAGGCAAAAUGGUGCCGUAACUUCGGGAGAAGGCACGCUGAUAUGUAGGUGAAGUGAUUUACUCAUGGAGCUGAAAUCAGUCGAAGAUACCAGCUGGCUGCAACUGUUUAUUAAAAACACAGCACUGUGCAAACACGAAAGUGGACGUAUACGGUGUGACGCCUGCCCGGUGCCGGAAGGUUAAUUGAUGGGGUUAUCCGUAAGGAGAAGCUCUUGAUCGAAGCCCCGGUAAACGGCGGCCGUAACUAUAACGGUCCUAAGGUAGCGAAAUUCCUUGUCGGGUAAGUUCCGACCUGCACGAAUGGCGUAAUGAUGGCCAGGCUGUCUCCACCCGAGACUCAGUGAAAUUGAACUCGCUGUGAAGAUGCAGUGUACCCGCGGCAAGACGGAAAGACCCCGUGAACCUUUACUAUAGCUUGACACUGAACACUGGUCCUUGAUGUGUAGGAUAGGUGGGAGGCUUUGAAGUGUGGACGCCAGUCUGCAUGGAGCCAUCCUUGAAAUACCACCCUUUAAUGGCUGGUGUUCUAACGUGGACCCGUAAUCCGGGUUGCGGACAGUGUCUGGUGGGUAGUUUGACUGGGGCGGUCUCCUCCUAAAGAGUAACGGAGGAGCACGAAGGUUAGCUAAUCCUGGUCGGACAUCAGGAGGUUAGUGCAAAGGCAUAAGCUAGCUUGACUGCGAGAGUGACGGCUCGAGCAGGUGCGAAAGCAGGUCUUAGUGAUCCGGUGGUUCUGAAUGGAAGGGCCAUCGCUCAACGGAUAAAAGGUACUCCGGGGAUAACAGGCUGAUACCGCCCAAGAGUUCAUAUCGACGGCGGUGUUUGGCACCUCGAUGUCGGCUCAUCACAUCCUGGGGCUGAAGUAGGUCCCAAGGGUAUGGCUGUUCGCCAUUUAAAGUGGUACGCGAGCUGGGUUUAGAACGUCGUGAGACAGUUCGGUCCCUAUCUGCCGUGGGCGCUGGAGAAUUGAGGGGGGCUGCUCCUAGUACGAGAGGACCGGAGUGGACGCAUCACUGGUGUUCGGGUUGUCAUGCCAAUGGCAUUGCCCGGUAGCUAAAUGCGGAAGAGAUAAGUGCUGAAAGCAUCUAAGCACGAAACUUGCCCCGAGAUGAGUUCUCCCUGAGACUUUAAGUCUCCUGAAGGAACGUUGAAGACGACGACGUUGAUAGGUCGGGUGUGUAAGUGUAGCGAUACAUUGAGCUAACCGAUACUAAUGAACCGUGAGGCUUAACCUU